rnacentral:rRNA from 1 species
UACGUAGGUCCCGAGCGUUGUCCGGAUUUAUUGGGCGUAAAGCGAGCGCAGGUGGUUUAUUAAGUCUGGUGUAAAAGUCCAUCGCUUAACGGUGGAUCCGCGCCGGGUACGGGCGGGCUUGAGUGCGGUAGGGGAGACUGGAAUUCCCGGUGUAACGGUGGAAUGUGUAGAUAUCGGGAAGAACACCAAUGGCGAAGGCAGGUCUCUGGGCCGUUACUGACGCUGAGGAGCGAAAGCGUGGGGAGCGAACAGG